rnacentral:rRNA from 1 species
CGCGCGAUACAGGGUGACAGCCCCGUACACAAAAGCGCAUGUGCUGUGAGCUCGAUGAGUAGGGCGGGACACGUGGUAUCCUGUCUGAAUAUGGGGGGACCAUCCUCCAAGGCUAAAUACUCCUGACUGACCGAUAGUGAACCAGUACCGUGAGGGAAAGGCGAAAAGAACCCCGGCGAGGGGAGUGAAAAAGAACCUGAAACCGUGUACGUACAAGCAGUGGGAGCACAGGUUUACCUGUGUGACUGCGUACCUUUUGUAUAAUGGGUCAGCGACUUAUAUUCUGUAGCAAGGUUAACCGUAUAGGGGAGCCGAAGGGAAACCGAGUCUUAACCGGGCGUUAAGUUGCAGGGUAUAGACCCGAAACCCGGUGAUCUAGCCAUGGGCAGGUUGAAGGUUGGGUAACACUAACUGGAGGACCGAACCGACUAAUGUUGAAAAAUUAGCGGAUGACCUGUGGCUGGGGGUGAAAGGCCAAUCAAACCGGGAGAUAGCUGGUUCUCCCCGAAAGCUAUUUAGGUAGCGCCUCGUGAAUUCAUCUCCGGGGGUAGAGCACUGUUUCGGCUAGGGGGCCAUCCCGGCUUACCAACCCGAUGCAAACUGCGAAUACCGGAGAAUGUUAUCACGGGAGACACACGGCGGGUGCUAACGUCCGUCGUGAAGAGGGAAACAACCCAGACCGCCAGCUAAGGUCCCAAAGUCAUGGUUAAGUGGGAAACGAUGUGGGAAGGCCCAGACAGCCAGGAUGUUGGCUUAGAAGCAGCCAUCAUUUAAAGAAAGCGUAAUAGCUCACUGGUCGAGUCGGCCUGCGCGGAAGAUGUAACGGGGCUAAACCAUGCACCGAAGCUGCGGCAGCGACGCUGAUGCGUUGUUGGGUAGGGGAGCGUUCUGUAAGCCUGCGAAGGUGGCCUGUGAGGGUUGCUGGAGGUAUCAGAAGUGCGAAUGCUGACAUAAGUAACGAUAAAGCGGGUGAAAAGCCCGCUCGCCGGAAGACCAAGGGUUCCUGUCCAACGUUAAUCGGGGCAGGGUGAGUCGACCCCUAAGGCGAGGCCGAAAGGCGUAGUCGAUGGGAAACGGGUUAAUAUUCCCGUACUUGGUGUUACUGCGAAGGGGGGACGGAGAAGGCUAUGUUGGCCGGGCGACGGUUGUCCCGGUUUAAGCGUGUAGGUGUGUGUUCCAGGUAAAUCCGGUUCACUUUAACACUGAGGCGUGACGACGAGGCACUACGGUGCUGAAGCAACAAAUGCCCUGCUUCCAGGAAAAGCCUCUAAGCAUCAGGUAACAUCAAAUCGUACCCCAAACCGACACAGGUGGUCAGGUAGAGAAUACCAAGGCGCUUGAGAGAACUCGGGUGAAGGAACUAGGCAAAAUGGUGCCGUAACUUCGGGAGAAGGCACGCUGACACGUAGGUGAAGUGAUUUACUCAUGGAGCUGAAGUCAGUCGAAGAUACCAGCUGGCUGCAACUGUUUAUUAAAAACACAGCACUGUGCAAACACGAAAGUGGACGUAUACGGUGUGACGCCUGCCCGGUGCCGGAAGGUUAAUUGAUGGGGUCAGCGCAAGCGAAGCUCCUGAUCGAAGCCCCGGUAAACGGCGGCCGUAACUAUAACGGUCCUAAGGUAGCGAAAUUCCUUGUCGGGUAAGUUCCGACCUGCACGAAUGGCGUAAUGAUGGCCAGGCUGUCUCCACCCGAGACUCAGUGAAAUUGAACUCGCUGUGAAGAUGCAGUGUACCCGCGGCAAGACGGAAAGACCCCGUGAACCUUUACUAUAGCUUGACACUGAACAUUGAGCCUUGAUGUGUAG